rnacentral:rRNA from 1 species
UAUUAUUUAAAAUGUAAAUAUUAAUAUUAAAGUAGUAAUAGUUAUGUUCUUAAAACUUAAAAAAUUUGGCGGUAUUUUAGUCUAUCCAGAGGAACCUGUUUUGUAAUCGAUAAUCCACGAUGGACCUUACUUAAAUUUGUAAUCAGUUUAUAUACCGUCGUUAUCAGAAUAUUUUAUAAGAAUAAUAAUAUUCAAUAAUUUUUAUUAAAAUUUAUAUCAGAUCAAGGUGUAGCUUAUGUUUAAGUAAUAAUGGGUUACAAUAAAUUUAUUUAAACGGAUAAAAUUAUGAAAAAGUUUUUGAAGGUGGAUUUGGUUGUAAAAUUAUAAAGAUUAAUAAUUUGAUUUUAGCUCUAAAAUAUGUACACAUCGCCCGUCGCUCUUAUUAUUAAGGUAAGAUAAGUCGUAACAUAGUAGAUGUACUGGAAAGUGUAUCUAGAAUGA